UGGAGACGGAGACAGGGAGGAUUAUCGUGAGCGCUGGAGGCUCGGUGCUGCCUCCUUGAGGUUGCGCGGGGGACCCAGACGGAGGGCCCGGAGGCUCCGGCGGACACCCGCCGUCUCCCGGGGAGUCUGCGGGCGCCCUCGACCACAGCCACGGGGGUGGGGAUGCAGGUCUCGGCAGGCGGACCCCCGACCCCUCACCAGAGCCCCGGCCGGCCUCUCCCACCCUGGGCUUUCGGCGCUCCCAGCAUCCCCAGCUCUCGCACCUCCGGGCGCUUGUUCAAGCUGUGCCCUCUGCCUGAAACACUUCCUCCAGGCAUUAAACUCCUCGUCCUCCCAGGCCUCCCCAGGCAGCCUCCCUUGGCCGUGCACCCCGCCCCUGGCCAGAGUUUCGGCUCCUGCCUCCGGUUUCCCCGGAGCCCCACAGCCCUCGGGUACAGCGUCCUCUCCUCCCCACCGAGGGGUCCGCAGGGCUCCGAUGGACAGACGCCGAAUGAACUGGAAUAUCUGGAGCAGCGGAGACGCGGGGCGUGGAGGGUAAACCCCCGCCGACUCGCACACCCGCCCCCCAGGGCCGGUUACGUGGUUGAAGGGACAGCAGGACCCGGCGCGGGCGCAGGGAGCCUUUUCCUGGCCCGAGGGUGCCCCCUGGGGGCCGGAGCCGCCCAGCAGCUGUGCCAUGCGGCAUGUGGGAUCUUAGCUCCCGCACCAGCGAUCGAACCUGCGCCCCCUGCGUUGGAAGCACAGAGUCUUAACUACUGGACCUCCAGGGAAGUCCCCUUUGAGUUUAAUUUUUUAGUAUAGCUACAUUUAAGUGCAAUAUCUUGGACAUACUUAUACCAAAAAACUGAUUCAUUGUUUAUCUGAAAUUCAAAUCUAAUUGGGCAUCCUGCAUUUUUAUUUGCUAAAUCUGGCAACCUAGGGCCUACAUAGGUAACAGGGACCAGGGGGAAUGGCAAGGGUCGGACAGCCCCAACCUGGACCCUGAAAACUCUGCCCUCCAGUCAGCCUGAAAGCCUCCUUUCCAAACCUCUGCCCUGGUACCUGGAAGGGGCGGGAGCCCAGAGACUCCUUGGGAGGAAUUAUUCCACUGCUGCCCACUUCUCUCCUCUCUCUGGGCCUAGUUUCCUUCUUUGUAAAAUGAAACUCAUGGUUUCUCUGCCCCGUUUCCCAACCUCUCCCAAGGAUCAAACACCUGAGUCGAGUAGGGGAUUCUCAGCUGACCAAAUGCACCCAGAAGGCAAACAGGCUUGUGAGAGUUUCUGUUCUUUGGCUCACCCAAGGGCCUUGAGGAAUAAUUAAGACAAAGGUCCUUUUUUGCUUGUUUUUUCCCAAAGUACCUCGUAAACCAGUUAAACUACCUCAGUGAUAAUUGAUUCAGACAUGAUCAUCAACUAAAAGCAUUGGGUGAAAGUUUGUUGGGAAUUAGGACAUUCACAGGGUAUCAAAGUAAAAGUUACCUUUACAAUAGGGAGACCAGGCAGGCGCCAACAGGCAGGUGACCCAUCACCUGCCCUUUGAUCCAAUCUGUCUCCAGACUAAAGGAGACUAAAGACACCCGGCCAAGUAAAGGCCAUGCCUGACCUGGGAUUACAGCCUGGACCGCAAAAAAUAAUGGCUAGAAAGGACAUUAUGGGACAACUGGGACAAGUGGAAUGUGGGCUGGGGAUUAGACAACUGUGUUGUUUCAAUGUUAAAUUCCCUGAAUUUGAUACUUGCACAGUGGUAUGUAGGAGAAUGGCCUUGUUCUUGGGAGAUGUGUGGUGAAGUGGGUAGAGGUGAAGGGCUACAUAUCUGCAACUAACUCUCCAUGGUGCAGCCAGAGCAAACAGAUAGACAGGGAGGAAGGGAGAAAAAGGUCAAAGGAUAACAGCUGGUGAAUCCGGUAGUUCAUUGUACUAUUCUUGCAACUUCUCUGUACAUUGGACAUUUUUCCAAAUAAAAAGUCUGAAGGAGCACCCACCCAGAAUAAAAUAUCAGAAGUAGAAGGGGUCUUAAAGACCUUGUUCCAUGACCCUUUCCCAGAGAGGGGAAGGUCUUGGCCUGUGGUCACACAGUGAGUGGCAUCUGAACCCUCCCCACUUGGUCUGAGUCCCAAGAGCAGGAAUGGGCCACCUAACCAGUGUCACCUCUCGUUCUUCUCCCUGCCGUCCCUCAGCUGCCAACACUCUGCCCCUGGGGCCACCCUACAGUCAUAUAGGAGGUGAGCAGCUCCUGGAGUGUGGGGAGAAAUCCACCCUGCCCCUCUCCAAAGAAACUGGACCACAACUCCCUCAUGCGAGGCCAAGCCUGGCAGGCCAUUUAGGUGAUGAUUAAAAGGAGAAAGCCAACUUCGUCACCUCCAAAUUUCACGAGAAGAAAAUCCAACAUCAGACAUCCACAUUCGUGAUAACCAUCAUCAAUCCAGGUGUAACAAAGAACACGGAGAAAAUCAGAAGUGACUGGGGGAAAUGCUGAGGUUCGGGGUGGUCUGUAGCUCCCCUGGCCUCUGUGGAAGGUGUCUCUGGAGAGAGCACCUGUGCUAUGGGUGGCCUAGGAAGCACCUAGCAAUGAGAACUUACUGGCUGCACAUGCUGAAGUUAAGCUUUCCUAUUUGAUUACUUGCUUUGCAAUCAAGGCCAGAGAGCCCUGGCGGGCCAGCAUGGGCCUGCACAGAGCAGGCACCUGCCCACUGUGUUGAAUUCACUCAUUCAACAAGUAUCUAUUGAGCACCUACUACAUGCUACUCUAUGUUCUGUGCUAGGUUCCAGGCAGGCAGGGGACUUCAAAGCAGAGUCCUGCUCUUAGGAAGCCCACAGUCCACUGUGAUGGGGUGGGACUGGGGGCAGCCCAUCCCUGAAAAAACACACAGGAUGACUUUAGCUCAAUGCUAGGUGCCAGGAAGACCACAAGAGGCUGCCUGGAGAGGGAGUCAGGGCAGGCCUUGCUGAGGACGGAACAUCUCACCUGAUGCCCAAGCAAGAAGCCAGGGCUGACCCUGAGGCAGCUGGGGAUGGUGUUCCAGAGAGAGGGGAAGGCCUGGACGUGGGACCAAGCCAAGCAGUUUGAGGAACAGGAAGGCCUGUGAGGCCCAGCAACGUGCUCAGGGUCGCAGGCUGAGGUCAGGCCAAGCGGGGCUUCCUCCUGCAGGCCUUGGAGGCGGAGUUUCCGGAUUUUAUU